UCAUUACGUCUUGAAUAUACCGGUUCUCGUUAGAUAACCGAAGUUAAGCAUCAUUGGGCGCGGUCAGUACUUGGGUGGGUGACCAUCUGGGAACACUGCGUGCCGUU
rnacentral:rRNA from 1 species